rnacentral:rRNA from 1 species
UACAGAGGUCUCAAGCGUUGUUCGGAUUCAUUGGGCGUAAAGGGUGCGUAGGCGGCGCGGUAAGUCGGGUGUGAAAUCUCGGGGCUUAACUCCGAAACUGCAUUCGAUACUGCCGUGCUUGAGGACUGGAGAGGAGACUGGAAUUUACGGUGUAGCGGUGAAAUGCGUAGAUAUCGUAAGGAAGACCAGUGGCGAAGGCGGGUCUCUGGACAGUUCCUGACGCUGAGGCAACGAAGGCCAGGGGAGCAAACGGG